AUUGAACGCUGGCGGCAUGCUUUACACAUGCAAGUCGAACGGUAACAGGUUAAGCUGACGAGUGGCGAACGGGUGAGUAAUGCAUCGGAACGUGCCCGAUCGUGGGGGAUAACGCAGCGAAAGCUGCGCUAAUACCGCAUACGAUCUGAGGAUGAAAGCGGGGGACCGUAAGGCCUCGCGCGAUCGGAGCGGCCGAUGUCAGAUUAGGUAGUUGGUGGGGUAAAGGCCCACCAAGCCGACGAUCUGUAGCUGGUCUGAGAGGACGACCAGCCACACUGGGACUGAGACACGGCCCAGACUCCUACGGGAGGCAGCAGUGGGGAAUUUUGGACAGUGGGCGAAAGCCUGAUCCAGCAAUGCCGCGUGCAGGAAGAAGGCCUUCGGGUUGUAAACUGCUUUUGUACGGAGCGAAAAGGUCCUUUCUAAUACAAGGGGCUCAUGACGGUACCGUAAGAAUAAGCACCGGCUAACUCCGUGCCAGCCGCCGCAGUAA
rnacentral:rRNA from 1 species